GGUGGGGACUCAGGCGGGACCGCCGGUGACGAAACCGGAGGAAGGUGGGGACGACGUCAAGUCAUCAUGGCCCUUAUGUCCUGGGCCACACACGUGCUACAAUGGCCGGUACAGAGCGCAGCGAGGCCGCGAGGCGGAGCGAAUCGCUUAAAGCCGGUCCCAGUACGGAUUGGAGUCUGCAACCCGACUCCAUGAAGUUGGAAUCGCUAGUAAUCGCGCAUCAGCAUGGCGCGGUGAAUACGUUCCCGGGCCUU
rnacentral:rRNA from 1 species